UUUUGAUUUUGGGUGUAGGGAAUCUUAACUUCAAAGACGAAAAAGCAAGUCACCAAUUUCACCUUCUUAUAGCUCCUAUCUUCUUUGUGCUUUACAGUUUGUUGAUAUUCUAUUUGUUUUUUUUAAUUCUCACUCUUGAAGGGUUUAUUACAUUUGGGCUUAGCUAGCUCUUAUUGUAUGGUGUUUGUUAUAUUGGGUUUUAGUCUUGGGGUUCUCAUAACUAUUUUGACGGGUUGAGGCAUCACCAAGCCAACUAACAGCUCCAUCCACCCUCUCGGGCAUCUGAUAUGGGUAAAAUUUGGUUUUGAUUUCAUUUUUCAUUUUUUUAAGAUUCAUUUCUCUCUCUCUCUCUCUCUCUCUCUCUCUCUCUCUCUCUCUCUCUAUUUUAAUAUACAAGAACUUUUUUUUUUCUUUUCGGAUUCACCCUUCCAUUUGCAACAGUUCAAAAUCAUGCAAGUGCCCUGUUGGAGAUGUGGAAUCUGAUGAAUACACCCACAGUUUGUGAUUCAUUUAAAUUACAGUCAAUGCUAAUAAGCCUUCUUGGAAGAUUGGUUCAUCCUUAAAAAAAAAAAAAACCAUGAAACGUUUACCAAAAGUUAAUAUCAUUCAUGAUUUGGAUCUGAUUGAUGAGGAUAGUCUGUUAACAGAAGAGAACUUAAAGAAACUCCGGCUACUUCUGCUUGAACAUCAUCUCAAAUUGAAAGGCCAUCGAUCAUCAGUUUGUUUAUGAUGCAU